UACAGAGGUCUCAAGCGUUGUUCGGAUUCAUUGGGCGUAAAGGGCGCGUAGGCGGGUGAUCAAGUCCGGGGUGAAAUCCUUCAGCUCAACUGGAGAAUAGCCUUGGAUACUGGUCGCCUCGAGGGAGGUAGGGGCGGGCGGAACUUCCGGUGGAGCGGUGAAAUGCGUAGAUAUCGGAAGGAACGCCGGUGGCGAAAGCGGCCCGCUGGACCUCUUCUGACGCUGAGGCGCGAAAGCCAGGGGAGCGAACGGG
rnacentral:rRNA from 1 species